rnacentral:rRNA from 1 species
AUACGGAGGAUCCGAGCGUUAUCCGGAUUUAUUGGGUUUAAAGGGUGCGCAGGCGGCCAUUUAAGUCAGCGGUUAAAUCUUGGGGCUCAACCCCAUUCUGCCGUUGAUACUGGGUGGCUUGAUCGCGGUCGAGGUUGGCGGAAUUCGUUGUGUAGAGGUGAAAUGCAUAGAUAUGACGAAGAACACCGAUUGCGUAGCACGCUGAACAGACCGCAAAUGACGCUCAGGCACGAAAGUGCGGGAAUCGAACAGGAUUAGAUGCCCUGGUUAUCCACGCCGUAAACGAUGAUGACUAACCGCCGGGCGGAGUGACGUCCGGCAGCCAAGCGAAAGCUAUAAGUCAUCCACCUGGGGAGUACGGCCGCAAGGCUGAAACUUAAAGGAAUUCACGGGG